UACGUAGGGUGCAAGCGUUGUCCGGAAUUAUUGGGCGUAAAGAGCUCGUAGGCGGUCUGUCGCGUCUGCUGUGAAAACUCAGGGCUUAACCCUGAGCUUGCAGUGGGUACGGGCAGACUAGAGUGCGGUAGGGGAGACUGGAAUUCCUGGUGUAGCGGUGAAAUGCGCAGAUAUCAGGAGGGAACACCGGUGGGCGAAGGCGGGUCU
rnacentral:rRNA from 1 species